AACAAACGCUGGCGGCGUGCCUAAUACAUGCAAGUCGAACGGGGUAGCAAUACCUAGUGGCGCACGGGUGAGGAACGCGUGGAUAAUCUGCCUUAGAGUGGGGGAUAACUAGUCGAAAGAUUAGCUAAUACCGCAUAAGACCACAGGAGCUGCGGCUCUAGGGGUCAAAGGUUUUUCGCUCUAAGAUGAGUCCGCGUAAGAUUAGCUAGUUGGUGAGGUAACGGCUCACCAAGGCGACGAUCUUUAACUGGUCUGAGAGGAUGAUCAGUCACACUGGAACUGGGACACCGUCCAGACUCCUACGGGAGGCAGCAGUAGGGAAUAUUGCACAAUGGAGGAAACUCUGAUGCAGCGACGCCGCGUGAGUGAUGAAGGCCUUCGGGUCGUAAAGCUCUGUCGCAGGGGAAUAACACAAUGAAUGUACCCUGUAAGAAAGGAUCGGCUAACUUCGUGCCAGCAGCCGCGGUAAAAC
rnacentral:rRNA from 1 species